rnacentral:rRNA from 1 species
GGAGGGGGCAAGCGUUGUUCGGAAUUACUGGGCGUAAAGGGCGCGUAGGCGGUAUGCCAUGUCAGGGGUGAAAGGCCUGGGCUCAACCCAGGAACUGCCUUUGAAACUGGCAAACUAGAGUCCGAUAGAGGAUGGCGGAAUUCCCAGUGUAGAGGUGAAAUUCGUAGAUAUUGGGAAGAACACCAGUGGCGAAGGCGGCCAUCUGGAUCGGCACUGACGCUGAGGCGCGAAAGCGUGGGGAGCAAACAGGGAUUAGAUACCCUGGUAGUCCACGCCGUAAACGAUGUGUGCUAGACGUUGGGGGGGUCUUAGACCCCGUGGGUGUCGUAGCUAACGCGUUAAGCACACCGCCUGGGGAGUACGGCCGCAAGGUUA